GAAUUCACUAGUGAUUAGAGUUUGAUCAUGGCUCAGAGUGAACGCUGGCGGCGUGCUUAACACAUGCAAGUCGAACGAGAACGGGAUUAGCUUGCUAAUCUGUCAGCUAAGUGGCGCACGGGUGAGUAAUAUAUAGGUAACGUGCCUUCAAGAGGGGGAUAACAGAUGGAAACGUCUGCUAAAACCCCAUAUGCCUUUAAUACAAAAGUAUGCAAGGGAAAUAUUUAUAGCUUGAAGAUCGGCCUGUACAGUAUCAGAUAGUUGGUGAGGUAAUAGCUCACCAAGUCAAUGACGCUUAACUGGUUUGAGAGGAUGAUCAGUCACACUGGAACUGAGACACGGUCCAGACUCCUACGGGAGGCAGCAGUGGGGAAUAUUGCACAAUGGGGGAAACCCUGAUGCAGCAACGCCGCGUGGAGGAUGACACAUUUCGGUGCGUAAACUCCUUUUAUAUAAGAAGAUAAUGACGGUAUUAUAUGAAUAAGCACCGGCUAACUCCGUGCCAGCAGCCGCGGUAAUACGGAGGGUGCAAGCGUUACUCCGGAAUCACUGGGCGUAAAGAGCGUGUAGGCGGAUAGAUAAGUCAGAAGUGAAAUCCAAUAGCUUAACUAUUGAACUGCUUUUGAAACUGUCUAUCUAGAGUAUGGGAGAGGUAGAUGGAAUUUCUGGUGUAGGGGUAAAAUCCGUAGAGAUCAGAAGGAAUACCGAUUGCGAAGGCGAUCUACUGGAACAUAACUGACGCUGAGACGCGAAAGCGUGGGGAGCAAACAGGAUUAGAUACCCUGGUAGUCCACGCCCUAAACGAUGUACACUAGUUGUUGCUAUGCUCGACAUAGCAGUAAUGCAGUUAACACAUUAAGUGUACCGCCUGGGGAGUACGGUCGCAAGGUUAAAACUCAAAGGAAUAGACGGGGACCCGCACAAGCGGUGGAGCAUGUGGUUUAAUUCGACGAUACGCGAAGAACCUUACCUAGUCUUGACAUAGUAAGAACCAUUUAGAGAUAGAUGGGUGUCUGCUUGCAGAAACUUAUAUACAGGUGCUGCACGGCUGUCGUCAGCUCGUGUCGUGAGAUGUUGGGUUAAGUCCCGCAACG
rnacentral:rRNA from 1 species